rfam:Eubacterium limosum KIST612, complete genome.
UCAAAGGGCGUAUGAUGAAGUUAAUUAAAUAUUGAAUGAUCCUAUGUAGUGGGAAAAGGGUGAGAAUCCCUUGCUGUAAUCGCAGCUGUAAUGCAAAAUGCUUUCUGAAAAGCCACUGUCAACGAUGAUGGGAAGGCGGAAAGAUGAUAUUGCUGAGCCAGAAGACCGACAUAGUGAUUGGUUCUUAA